rnacentral:rRNA from 1 species
CAAUAGCGUAUAUUAAAGUUGUUGCAGUUAAAAGCUCGUAGUUGGAUUUCUGGGAGAGUGGCGAUGUCCGCUUAACGUGUGUGCAGCGACGCUCUUCCAUCCUUCUGUUAGCGUCUCUUGGCAUUCAUUUGCUGGUGGCGGGCUCAGAUAUUUUACCUUGAGAAAAUUAGAGUGUUUCAGGCAGGCUAGGCCGGAAUACAUUAGCAUGGAAUAAUGGAAAGGACUUCAACCUCUUCUGUUGGUCUGAGAGGCUGUAGUAAUGAUUAAUAGGGAUAGUUGGGGGCAUUAGUACUUAACUGUCAGAGGUGAAAUUCUCCGAUUUGUUAAAGACUAACUUAUGCGAAAGCAUUUGCCAAGGAUGUUUUCAUUAAUCAAGAACGAAAGUUAGGGGAUCGAAGAUGAUUAGAUACCA